rnacentral:rRNA from 1 species
AUUGAACGCUGGCGGCAUGCUUUACACAUGCAAGUCGAACGGCAGCACGGGGGCAACCCUGGUGGCGAGUGGCGAACGGGUGAGUAACACAUCGGAACGUGUCCAGUUGCGGGGGAUAACCCAUCGAAAGGUGGGCUAAUACCGCAUGAGCUGGCAACAGGAAAGCGGGGGACCCGCAAGGGCCUUGUGCGAUUGGAGCGGCCGAUGUCCGAUUAGCUAGUUGGUGGGGUAAAGGCCUACCAAGGCUUCGAUCGGUAGCUGGUCUGAGAGGAUGAUCAGCCACACUGGGACUGAGACACGGCCCAGACUCCUACGGGAGGCAGCAGUGGGGAAUUUUGGACAAUGGGGGCAACCCUGAUCCAGCCAUGCCGCGUGAGUGAAGAAGGCCU